AAGUCGUAACAAGGUCUCCGUUGGUGAACCAGCGGAGGGAUCAUUACAGAGUUGCAAAACUCCAAACCCAUGUGAACAUACCUCGUGUUGCCUCGGCGGCGAGCGUAGUGCUCGGUAGGUGCCUACCCGGUACCUACCCUAGAGCUACCCUGGAGCCUCCUACCCUGGAGCUGCAGGGUACCUACCCUGGAGUUACCCGGGUAGUAACAUACCCGGUAGCUACCCUGGAGGACAUGCGCAUCCGCCGGAGGACCACUCAAACUCUUGUUUCUGUGUGGCACAUCUGAGUAAUUAUAUUUAAUAAGUCAAAACUUUCAACAACGGAUCUCUUGGUUCUG
rnacentral:misc_RNA from 1 species